rnacentral:rRNA from 1 species
UACAGAGGGGGCGAGCGUUGUUCGGAAUUACUGGGCGUAAAGGGCGCGUAGGCGGCCCGCUAAGUCGAACGUGAAAUCCCCAGGCUCAACCUGGGAACUGCGUCCGAUACUGGCAGGCUUGAAUCCGGGAGAGGGAUGUGGAAUUCCAGGUGUAGCGGUGAAAUGCGUAGAUAUCUGGAGGAGCACCGGUGGCGAAGGCGGCAUCCUGGACCGGUAUUGACGCUGAGGCGCGAAAGCUAGGGGAGCAAACGGG